rfam:Chloroflexi bacterium GWC2_70_10 gwc2_scaffold_8808, whole genome shotgun sequence.
GGGCGCGUAGCUCAGCGGUCAGAGCACUCGGUUCACAUCCGAGUGGUCGGAGGUUCGAUCCCUCCCGCGCCCA